rnacentral:rRNA from 1 species
UCGGGGAUUAGUGGCGAACGGGUGAGUAACACGUGGGCUAUCUGCCCUGCACUCUGGGACAAGCCCUGGAAACGGGGUCUAAUACCGGAUAUGAGGACCUUCCGCAUGGUGGGUUCUGUAAAGCUCCGGCGGUGCAGGAUGAGCCCGCGGCCUAUCAGCUAGUCGGUGGGGUAAUGGCCUACCGAGGCGACGACGGGUAGCCGGCCUGAGAGGGCGACCGGCCACACUGAGACUGAGACACGGCCCAGACUCCUACGGGAGGCAGCAGUGGGGAAUAUUGCACAAUGGGCGCAAGCCUGAUGCAGCGACGCCGCGUGAGGGAUGACGGCCUUCGGGUUGUAAACCUCUUUCAGCAGGGAAGAAGCGAAAGUGACGGUACCUGCAGAAGAAGCGCCGGCUAACUACGUGCCA